UCUUAGCCAAUCAAUUAGGUGAUGUGGAGACCCUCUUAGGCCAGAGAAUUCCUCUGAGGUGGGAUUCUCUUUUCUCUUCAUUACACGCGCUUUCUCUCUCUCUCCAAUCAAAAACCCUAAAUCUCCUUUUCUUCAAUCAUCGCCCUUUUAUAUUCCCUGUGUCUUUCUUCUCCAACGUUUCACUUAUUCUCUCAUCCAACCUUCUCUGUGUCGAAACCCUUAUCGGCUUCACAUUCACAAAACCUACUGUUUUCAGUCGCCGUUUAGCCGCAACUAAGUCUCAAUUUUAGGAUAUUUGGAUCUGUGAAUCGGGGCUCGAGACCAAGAAUCAAAGAAAUUGGAGCAAUUUUUCAUUCUGCAAUACUCCCAAAAAACGAAUGGUAAGAAAUUUAGACUUUCCCGGAGACGGAAUAUCACCGGAGAUGCAAUCAACAAAGCACAGUUGAUGGAGAUUUGGGACCAAUUUCUGAUCAAAGUUUUGAUUCAAGGCUACAAACUUUCUUUGAUAUUUUCUCCCGCAAGAAUCGCAUGCCUCGACUUUAAUCUCCAAAAGACGAAAAUGCAACUAGGUGUUCAGGUUUUAGUCACUGACCCACGCACUUUGGAGAAAAUUCGUCAAAGAGAAGCUCAUAUGACAAAAGAGCGUAUCGAAGAGAUUCUAAAAGCCGGUGCUAAUGUUGUUUUAACGACCAAGGGGAUUGAUGACAUGGCACUCAAUUAUUUUGUAAUUUUGUGGAAGCUGGUGCAAUUGCUGUGAGGCGAGUUCAAAAAGAAGAUUUACGCCACGUUGCCAAAGCAACAGGCGCAACUGCGGUAAUAUGCACAUGUAUUUAUCAGCUGUAGUUUUUUUUUUCUAAUGAACACAUUAUAUGUAUAACAAUUCUGUUGUUGUGAAUAUAAAUUCUGAAAUAUAAUAUAUGUAGGGUUGAUAAAGAUACUGAUGUUUAUGGUUUGGUUCAGUCGGUUUUGAAAAAAGUUCUAUAUCACGUAGUUAACUGCGGUUUUGGGAAAUAACAAACCAAACUAGAUGGGUUGGUGGGUCACCCGACAACGGGUUUUAUCAGUUUGAUGGUUUAGUGGUUUGGUAUGGCGGUUUGAAAUGGGUUUAUUAAUUCUUUUUUAAAACAUUAGUUUAUAUAUCAAAAUUGCUAAAAUGAUAAAGAUAGUUCAUGACUAUUAGAAACAUUUCCAUAUCCUAAUUGAUACCUGCUGAUAACGUUAACUGAUGUGUGAGUCAUUAUUCGGUAAUCGUCCAACUUUUUGGACACCUUUGACAAUGGAGCUAAACUAGCCGUUGCACAUGAAUAUGGUUGUGUAAGUCAACAUUCUGUCCGUUUAUUGUGGAUUUUAUAGUAAAUUGUUGAUCUGGUUUUAAUUUUAGGAUUUGUUUGCUGAAUUAUAGCUUGCAUUUUCAAUGUCAUCCUCAUAAUCUAUUGAGGUAGCUUUAUUCUUUUCCGUCGUAUGCUUCUCUUUUAAUAUCAGCUCUUUCUCUCAUUUUCAUGUUUUUUGGGUGGUGUCCUUGAAACACUUUGCGUAAUGGUCAUCAAAUCUUUGCAUCUUUUAUGAUUUUCUCUUUUUGUACACGGGAGUUUGUUCAAGAAGAUUCUUAUCUAGACGGGUACUCAAAAAAAUGUUGGAAAGGAGAACCAAUGGUUGCAUAGGAGUAGCAAGGUGAAAGUAUAUAUGGGUGAUGGGUGGCAUCCGCUCUGCGAUAUGAUUUCUUAUGGGCACAAGCAGCCCAGGUACUGUAACUUAACUUACAUGUUUCCUCACCGAUCUCACUAGAUUAACACACCUUUAUAUUUUCAAUUAACAAUUUUAAUGGGAACUUAUUCGUAAAUGACGGUGCAAUUGUUCAAGGUUGUUUCUUGAUUCCAGAUUCUUCAUUCUAUCCUAUCUGGAAGGGCAAUGUGGUCUUUUUGAAUUUGUACAAAAGGCGCAUGCCAUGAAUGUCUCUUAAAGUAUUAAUGCAUUUUAAAAGAAAGACGCUUAAGAAAAUAAGUUGCUUCUUGAUAUUGCUCUAUGGUUGACUUAGAAAUUUAAGAUAACAACCGACUCAUCAUUAGUCUUGACUUGAAAGCUUCAAUAAUGUAGUAAAGGAUUUGCUGUAAAGAGUAGUUAAUUUUUUUAAUGUUCACUAUGCGUGAUUGGGGAAGAUGAUCAGGUGAUCUACCAGACUACCAAUAGGUGAUCUGCUGAUUUCUGUAAAACACAAAGGGUAAAAUAUCAAUCUUUCUAUAGGCAAAGAGUAGGAAUUUUAAAAAGUCUUAAUAUAUGAACCGAACAAAGCAACCAAAAGGCGUUCUGUUAUACAUUAAAGUUAGCGAAGGGUGGAUAAUUGUUUUCUUUAGUCAUAGUUUUUUUGUGAAAUAUAUUUAAAUUUUUGAACUUUCGGGAUAGCCUACAUCUCAACUCAUAGGAACUAUACCCUGUAUCUUUUUUUUAAUCUUUUUCAAUCAUGUUGCUACUAAAGAAACAUGUCACAUUUAUAUUAAGACAAGCCCGGUUCUUAUUUUUACUGAGUAUUAAUAACAUUGCUGAUUGUUCUUUUUACCUCCAUGUACUUGGUGUUUUGGCUUAUUGGAAAUAACAUGAAAGGAGAGAAAUCAUAUUCACAUCACUUGGAUAAUGAUGUAAGUAUGAUCUCGGAGCAUGUUUGCUGAAUAGUAAAUUUCUCUUUUUAUUGUGUUGCUGUCUUUUCAGCUCAUUUAAUCCAAAUUUGUUGUUUUCGACUGCAUAUUACUGAACAAAUCUAUACCAAUAAAAAGUGGAGAAGUUAUGACAAUUGUACGUAUCAUCUCAUUUUAGCUCAUUUAAUCAAUUGCUACACCGCCACCAUUCCGGUUGGAUUCUUCCUCUAUUUUGUUCUUGGCGGCGCCAUUGGAAAACACUUCGUCUCACAUUUUGUAUUCGUAUGCUAUUAGAUCUCUUACUUUUCAAUUGUUUGUAAAUAAAUUUUUUCCCUUCAUAUUUGUCCUUUGUUAGGGUUUUGACAAUAGCAUCACAGCAGCACCGCAACAACCUGUCUCCGCUCGAGUUGUAAGUAUGUUUUUUGGAUGGUUUAGCUUACACAAUGUUCAAGAGAUGCUAAGUUUUAGAAAUUUCAAAUAUAAGCUGCAUCCAUGGUAAGUUUCAGUUUUGUUUGGUUUUUUCACUUAAUUUGUUGUUUGUUGUUUAUGAAGGCUGAUACACGUUUCUUUGUUUCUUACGCUAAUUGCUCUUUCUCUUCCCGCUUCUAUUGGAUUUCUGGAAGUUGAAUGUAAGCUCUAGAAAUCAACUAUAUAUCUAGGGUUUCAGUGGUGACCCUUAGAUGGAAAUAAGAGAAAGUAGCGGACACAACGUCACCAUCCUUCCCACUUAGAUUGUGGAACAACACCAUGGAUAUGGGGAAGUUGAAAAAUGGUAUUGAUGUUCAAGACUUCGAUACUAUUGAACCCAUUACACUUAGCUCAUGGGAUCAAAUGGCUCUGGUAAAGAAAUUUGAGGGAGCGUUAUCUGUAAAGGGUAAUGUGGGUGUUGAAGCUUCGGAAGAAAAGCGUAUUGAAGCAUAUAUGACAGCAGUAAGAUCAUUUGCGGAUGAGUGGUAGGAAAGAUGUUUCAAUCUUAGUCAUUUUUUUGGUGCUUUUUAAGUUUCUAUUUUUUUUGAACGGCAAAGUAUCAUACAUUUUUUGGGUGCGGGAUACCUUACACCCCCACAUUACGGGGUGGCCCGUUGCCCCACUCCGGUGAGACGUGAGUGUCUGAACGGUUCCCAGCUGGCAUCAGAUCGUUGACGGCGUUCACCCGGAAACCCCACAAGUACCUCGCCCACACAGGAGGGCUUGACGAGUUGAUAGCACACCAGCGAACCUGGAGUCUAACUCGGGUACCAUGGGUAAAACCGGGGGUGCCUCACAUUUGAUGGAGGCGGUGAUCGAACCAGCGCCUCUUGCGAGGAAGAUGAACUACCCAUUGCUCCACCAAAGGAUCACUGGCUUUGGUAUUUGCAGUGGGUUAACUGUGAAAAAGCUUGACAAGAAAUUGGAAAGAACUCUUCUCCAUUCGGAUCACUGGCUUUGGUAUUUGCAGUGGGCCUACCCGCUUUCUUUAAACCCAUUUGAAUUGUGCCGCCAUCAAAAAGGUUUCUGAAUUCACCACUGGUGGUGGGGCGAAAACUACGACCCAAUAGUGGAGCUUUACAAUAUUCAAAGAUUCAAUUGUCAAGUGUUGAACACGCCUUCUUAGUCUGAUGACAGGAAGUUUGGGAGGGGAGCUGGUGACAUGAAGGUGAACCUGUUUGCAAGAAACUGAAUUCGUUUAUAGCCCAAACAACCGAUAUUAAGUGUAUCUGGAUAUGGUUGAUGCCUUGAUGGCUUUAAAAUGAUGGCCAGUCCAGCGGCGUAUUUUGGGCUUGGGCAGCAAAGUCACAGAGAGAUUCUACGGUCUACCUACUCAAGGCUUUUAACAAGGGAAAGCCCAAUGAUGACCCCCCUCAGUUAAUAAGGAAUUGAAUAGGAACUAUGGAGGCAAUCAACAUUAGAAUGCUGUUUCAGUGGUUAAUACAUUAACUUACAAAGUUUUCUUUUUGUGUUUCCUUUGUUAAAUUGGUAAUUCCUAAUCAUUUACAACUUAAUUAUGUUA